UGCAAAGUUUAGAAGCAAGGUAGAUCGGAGGAGAACAUAGUAAACUGUUAAAAUUGCUAUAUGCUAUGUUGUAUUUGAUAACUACGUUGCGAGAUUGUGUACAGUGUUUUAAUAUAAUCUCUCUAGUCUCUACACGUAUUUGUUUUUGCAACUUCGGAUCGACUUUCGAUCUAGUUAUUUGCUGUUAACUGCUAUUGUUGCCAGAACGUGUUAUGAUUGUGUCAGGUAUAUACAGUAUUUAUGCUGCAUUUUGGAUAAGUGUCAUUAAAGAGGGAAAAAUAAUGAAGAGGAAGAAGGCAGACAUAGCGUCCUUCUUCAGGGCAAGUGGAAAGAAGUCAGCUAAGGCAAAGAAUGAGGGUGAGAUGGAGAAAAAACAGGCAGAGAGCGAGGAUGAGGAGCCCCCAGAGAGCAGCAACUUAAAUGGACCUCCAGAUUGAUCGAGAGCAGGACAGAAGAGUCCUCCCUGAGGAGUGGCCCCAGUGGAUCCCCAGGUAAAUUGUCAAUCUUACAUUGUAUGUUGUACUCUUCUGCUAACUUUUCAUCGAUAUUGUCCACAAGUUUAUAUUGUAUAUGUUUAAUGCUGUAGAAAAUGAAUUUUAAUCUUUUGUAUCUGUGAAAUACUUGGAUAGUGGAUCAUUACACCUUGUGGAAAAUACUUUAAACACCUAUUAAUGUUUUUAAUAUAUAUAUUUAGAUUCCCACAGAAGAUUCAGACAGCGAGAGAGAGGAGCCUCCAACAACGAGUGGCGGCCCAAGGUACCUCCAGACAUUUCCAAAUCAAGAACCGAUAGAUCUUUAAGGACAGUCUUUGAAGUGUUCAGUUUUAAUGAGAUGUCACUGUUUGGAUUCUCUGUCUGAUAUGUGUAAAUGUGGCUCAAACUUGAAUCUAAUCUUGCAGAGUCCGCCUAAUACCCAUUGUGAAUAUGAU